rnacentral:lncRNA from 1 species
AGAAGGGAUUGGAGGAAACAGGCUGAAGACAGAUGCUGCAGUGGGAGUGUGGAGAGAUGUGAAGGCAACAGCAGGAAUAAUGAUAAGAUUGGUUGUGAGGUACCUGCGUCUGCCAAGAGUAGCUUUUCCAUUUCACAACCAUCACACUUUCCUGUGAGUUCAGAGUUAAUGAAGACAUGUGGAUGCAAAAGGAAAACUUGCAGAGCAAAGUCAUUGCCAAACAGGUUGUGUAGCCUGACCUGUGAAACAUUGUGAAGAAGGAAGAUCGCAGUUUCAGGGAAGAUGACUCGAUAACACCACAGAACAGCAGCCACUACUCACCACUCCGGCUAGGCUGGUUUCCCUGCCAUGGAGCUCGCCAUUCUUCGUCCUGUCACAAGCCAUUCACUGAUGAGCCAGGGGAAGCCGCAGAAGUUUCCAGAUCAGAGAAGUGCUGUGAUCUAAUUUGAGCUGUAACCACAAUAAAGAUAAGUUUUUAUAAUAGGAUAUUGGUUUAGGAGCUUUAACAAUGAGCAAAAUAAAAGUGCCUGAAACAAAA